rnacentral:rRNA from 1 species
CCUACGGGAGGCAGCAGUGAGGAAUAUUGGUCAAUGGGCGCGAGCCUGAACCAGCCACGUCGCGUGAAGGAUGACUGACCUACGUGUUGUAAACUUCUUUUAUAAAGGAAUAAAGUGAGGCACGAGUGCCUUUUUGUAUGUACUUUAUGAAUAAGGAUAGGCUAACUACGUGCCAGCAGCAGCGGUAAUACGGAGGAUCCGAGCGUUAUACGGAUUUAUUGGGUUUAAAGGGAGCGUAGAUGGGUUGUUAAGUCAGUUGUGCAAGUUUGCGGUCCAACCGUAAGAUUGCAAUUGAUACUGGCAGCCUUGAGUACAGGUGAGGUAGGCGGAAUUCGUGGUGUAGCGAUGAAAUGCUUAGAUAUCACGAAGAACUCCGAUUGCGAAGGCAGCUUACUAAACUGCCACUGACAUUGAUGCUCGAAAGUGUGGGUAUCAAACAGGAUUAGAUACCCCUGUAGUC